rnacentral:lncRNA from 1 species
UUCAUAAAUACAGUGGAGAGAUGUCUCUAGACACAAUAAUAAUUAUACUUGUCAGCUAUUUCUUUGUCAGUUUAAGCCUGAUUUACACACAAACUUUCAAUCAAGGACUCUCAGAGCCGUCCAUUGAUUUGAAGUACCUUGGAAUUGUGUUGUUUUUAAUAGGAAUUAGUGGCAAUUUCUACCACCAUUACCUUCUGCCCAAGCUAAGAACAAAGGGUGAGAAAGAGUACAAGAUCCCCAAAGGUGGUUUGUUUGAGUUGGUGAUUUGCCCUCACUAUCUGUUUGAGAUUUUAGAGUUUUUGGGAAUUAGUUUAAUUUCUCAAACAUUGUACUCAUUUUCAGUCACUCUAGGCUCUGCAUUGUACUUGAUGUGUAGGAGUUAUGUCACUAGGAAAUGGUACGUGUCUAAGUUUGAAGAUUUCCCCAAGGAAGUCCAAGCUUUUAUUCCAUUUGUUUUUUAAUGCAUGGAUGAAGGCUUCAAUAUACACCCACUGAUUAUAUACUCUUCAUUAGGGAAUGGAGAUUUGACAAGAAAAUAUAUUCUCCAAUUAACCACUUUUAUGUUAUGAUUAUAAUUUUGUUUUAUCAGGGCUUCAAUACAUGUUAUUAGACCAUAUAUGUAAUUAUCUAAAAAUGGGAAAUUGCAAAUGAUAAGCAUGUGAAUCCUUUCAUUGUUGCUUCUGAAAUUCACAAAAUUGUUGAGCUGGGCCUAAAUGAAAGGAAUAUGUGGUUAUCAAAAGGGCUGCCGAUUGCUUGCUAAAAAAAUGUGGGUCCGAAUCUACAACUAAUGGGACUUUGGUAAAAAAAGGCAAGUAUGGAAUCAAUGUUCACUACUUUUAAGCAAACUAAACUCUUAAAUUAUAAAUUUGGGUUUGCUUUUAUUUCGAGUAAGAGAAGUUUGUUUUUCGAGUUCUCACUAUAAAUUCUAUUUAUAUAGAUUCUGAUUGCCAACUCAUACAUAUUAGUUCCAGUUGCAUUUUAUUCAAAUUGAGAGAAUAACCAAAACAAUUCGAUUUUAUUUUUUUUUUGUUUCUGAAGUAACUCUCAUCAACUAGUACUAUUUUGAUAUGAGCUUUUAGAAGGAAUUCAUCAAAUUUCUUCGAUCUAAAAUCACCCCCUUCGCCUAUACGGAUCUACUAGAUAUAUUUCAUGAAUAAUUCAAUUGUCAUAUUUAAUCAAAAUGAAAACGUUUAAGUGUUUUGGGCCACUAGGCCACUGGGCCUCUUUUUUAUUUGGGCUUGUAAUAUUUUUUUGUUUUGGUCUGUAAUUUAUUUUUUGCUUAUUUGUAAAUUGAGCCCGAGAGAAAUUAGGCCCUUACAAUGAGUUAUUAAAUACAUUGAAAUUUUGUAGAAAGAUUGGCUUUUGUACCAAAAUCAUAUAUAUGAGUUAUCAUUAUUAAAAUGAUAUCAUAAAAAAAUAUCUCAACUCCAUGAUUUUUUGGAUAAUCAACUAAUUUAUCAAUAUAAUUAUAUAUUUAUUAUGUAUUAGACGUAUUCAUGGAUCGGAUAGAUUAGAUUCGGGUUGGGCCUAAUCAUGAUAUUAAUAUAUUUUAUAUUUAUCCAAGCUCGGCCCAAUCUGAAAUAUGAGCCUAAAAUCUUAUCCAAAUCCGCCCAUAUUUGCAAAAGACUAACCAAAAUCUAUUUAGGUUUGCCUAAAAAUAUUAGGCUCGAAAAAUAGAUUUGGGCAAAAAAAAAGGCCCAUGUAAAAUAUGGGUCGGACUCGGGCUUAAACAUUCAAGACUCAAGCCUAGCUCGGCCUAGCCCAUUUUUAAGUUUUUAAUACUUUAUAUUAUGUUAUUUUAAAUAUGUAAUUUAGAACACAUAAAAAAAAAUAAACAUAUACUAAAUAUAUAAUGCUACUCUAAUGUAAACACUAAAAUAAUGUUAAAGAUAACUAUAUAAAAAAUUUUAAUAAAUAAAAAGUGUAUAAAAUUAUAAAAUAUUAAAAUGAUAUAAUAUAUAUAUUUUAAAAAAUAAUAAAAUAAUAUAGACGGGUCUAAAAUGAACUUGGUUAGUCUUUUGUAAAUAUGGACAGGUUUGGACAAAACUUUAAGUUCAUAUUUUGGAUCGAGCUAAGCUUGAGCAAAUAUAAAGUAUGUUAAUAUCAUAUUUAAACCUGGUCCAAACCCGACCUAUCAACAUAGCUUCAUGCUACUAACACGAAGGCUUCAAUUCUUCCAGACCAAUUAACAAUAAUUGUCAUUAAAAUGUACCUGUGUCUGCUGCCCCGUAUAUUUCCUAUUUGUGCUUUAAGCAAUUAGUUUAUAAAUAAUUAAUAGUAUUUUUUAAUGACUAGUAUUGAAAGUUUAAAAAUACUUUAAGUAUUAAUUUUUUAUUUGUAAAAGAAAUAAUGGUUAAAUGAGUUUUGACAUUAGAUUGACAUAAAUAAAAUUAAUAUUAGAAAAAAAACUAAUCAAAUAAAUAUUUGGAAAUUGAAAUUUUGUCUUUCGAAAACAAAACUCACUAAAAUUAAAAAAAUACAUUAUUUUUCAUUUAAUUAAGGUGUUAAAAAAUUAAAUUUAAAUCAUUAAUAUUUUAGAGGAGAGUUAAAAAUAUUAUCAUUUAAUCAAUGAAGAAAAACUUCAUAUAUGCUUAUUUGUUCAAUUGGUUGUAGUUAGACCUGUUCAUAGGUCGUACUAUCUGCUCUGGCCGAAAGGCCGGUUCAAAAUUUGAGAGAGGAUGGCAAAAAAUAUUAGGCCUAAAAAUAGAUUUGGGUAAAAAAGUUAGGUCCAUUUAAAAUAUGAAUCGAGCUUGGGUUUGAACAUUCAAGGCUUGAUUCUGACCCUUUUUUAAGUUUUUAAUAUUUUAUAUUAUAUUUUUUUUAUAUAUAAUGUAAUUAAAAAUACAUUAAAAAGAUAAACUUAUACUAAGUAUAUAAUACUACUCUAAUGUAAACAUAAAAUAAUGUUAAGAUGACUAUAUAAAAAAAUUCAAUAAAUAAAAAUAUAUAAAAUUAUUAAAUAUUAAAAUAAAAUAAAAUAAAUAUUAAAAAAAGAGUAAAAAAUAAUAUGGGCGAACCUAAAUAGACUUUGGUUAGUCUUUUGCAAAUAUGAGCGAAUUUGGAUAAGAUUUUAGGCUCAUAUUUCGGAUUGGGUCGAACUUGGACAAAUAUAAAAUAUAUUAAUAUCAUGAUUAGGCCCAACCCGAAUCUAACCUGUCCGAUCCAUGAAUACGUCUAAUACAUAAUAAAUAUAUAAUUAUAUUGAUAAAUUAGAUGAUUAUCCCAAAAAAUCAUGGAGUUGAGAUAUUUUUUUAUGAUAUCAUUUUAAUAAUGAUAGCUCAUAUAUAUAAUUUUGGUACAAAAGCCAAUCUUUCUACAAAAUUUCAAUGUAUUUAAUAACUCAUUGUACCAAUUUACAAAUAAGCAAAAAAAUAAAUUAGAGGCCAAAACAAAAAACAUUACAAGUCCAAAUGAAAAAGAGGCCCAGUGGCCCAAAACACUUAAACGAUUUCAGUAAAACUAAAAAUCCUAAUCCCAUUUGCAUCACUGCCACAUUAGCGCUCCUCGUCCCGAGGCCUGACACGCCUUGAUCGCUGUUUCACCAAAAUGGCCAGCGCAGGCCUCUUUUGUCGCUGCUGACCACGCGCCAAUACCUGCAAAAAGGACGAAGAAAAGACAUAAACAACAAAGAGAUGGCAGUAGAGAAACAAUAGCGAAACAGAAAUAAUGAACAAUGUAAAUAUUAUGGCUACAAAAGCCAUGACAAUCAAUGUAUUCAAAAUACAAGCAAUCAGGUACAAAAAAAAAAGAGAGAGAAAUAAAAAAACAAGAUUUCGAAAAGAACACAAAGGUAGUCUUUUAUUUUUUGUUUAAAAAGAUAUAAUAAAUACAUAUAAAAAAAAAGAGGGAGAGGAAGGGUUCUCACUUGUCGUUCCACCUUUCGCCAUCGUCAAGGACCACUUUCGGCACCCAGAAUAUCUCAGAACCCAUUUGGGUUCCGACGAGGGUCGGAUGAACGCAGCGAGGCUGAAAUUUUUCCUUCGCAUUUUCUUUUUCUUUUUUAUUUUUUCGAUUUCAAAAAAAAAUAUUCGGUUUAGAUUUGGGUUUUAAAAAAUAAUUAAAAAAAGGGACUAAAAGCAUUUUUUAUUUUCCGGCUAGGCGGAGUCAAAGCGGAGCCAUAGCGGAGGCUCGUCGGUACCCAGGCCGGAUGUGGGAAAAAUCGAGAGAAAGGGAGAGCUCUCAGAUUUUUUUUAAACGCAAACAUAAUGAAAAUUUUUAAAGGUUUUUGUCUUAUAUAAGCGAUGCUAAACGACGUCAUUUUGGCCCUUGUUCAUAAGUCCCAAAACGAGAUCGUUUUGAUACGACCCGAUUGCCAACCUGGGACCCAACCCGAACUGCGCAGGAUCAACGCAUUUUUGACAUGGGGGGUCUAAUUGCUCCAUGGGUCCUUCCGCUUUUACAGUUGGUUUCAAUUAGAUCCUAUUUUAUUCUUUUUAUUUUUUUUAUUUCUAUUUUGGUCCUUGGACCAUUUAUGGGAAAUAGACAUCCUAAACGUUGUCGUUUUGAAGUCGACACGGAGACCCGACCCGAUCCAUCCUAGGAUCCGCGUAUUUUUGUGGCAAUGGUCUAUUUACGACCCUGGUCCCUCCGCUUUUGGAAUUGUUUUCAAUCUAGUCCUAAUUCUUUUUUCUUUUUUAGAUUGGACCGUUUAAUUUUAUUUCAUUUUUAAUUUAGUCCCUUGAUUUGUCAAAAGGAACGGCGCAUUUAGUAGGGUUUGGGAUAUUUUCUCAAUUAGUCCCUCAUCCUUUUCGCACAUUUCACUUUAGUCCUUUAUUUUGUUUUACUAUUUAAUUUAUUAUGUUUUAUACUUACAAUUUUAUUUAAACUUCAAUUUAGUCCCUUAUUUAUUUAAUCUUAGCCUUUCAUGAAAUUUAUUAUUAUUAUUUACUUACUUAUUUAUUUACUAUUGUAAAUUUAGCUUUUCAUGCAAUUUUUUUAUUUACUAUUAUUUACUCAUUUAUUAUUGUCUUACUUCUUAUUUUUUAAAAAUUAAUGAUGUUCAUAUUUGUACAUUUUUCGCUCAUUAUUUUUAUUUGUUCAUCUUUCGCUCGUUAUUUAUACAUAUUCUCAUAUUAUUUAUAUUUACAUUCGUUAUUUAGCAUCUAGCAUUUUUUUAUUUGUUUUAAAUUACCUUAUUUAUUUUAUUAUUAUUAUUUUUAUUGUUAUAGUUACAUCAGUAUUAUUAUAGCAUUCUCUUAUUUAUUUAAUAUAUAUCAUAUCCAUAUAGCCAUUUUAUAUUAUCUCAUCAUCACUACAUCAUACAUUAUGUUUAAAUAUAAUUGGCCGUUUUUAUACUAUUCCCCCAAAUAAGAUAAAUACACAUUGUUUUAAAUGUUACAUUUAUUAUUACUUAAUAAAGGAAAUUUUAAAAUUCAGGCAAUGUCCCGUAUUUGGAGAUUUGAGAAGUUGUGCCCUAACUUACGGGGUUCGACUUUCUACUUGAACCUAGAUAACCGGACAUCCCUUUUAAAAUUAAAACACAUGAGAUUUAAAUAGUAAUUAAAUAAAGAGUAAGGUUAUUUUUUAGAAUUCGAGAUGUUGUGUCCUAACUUACGGGAUAUGACCUUUUUGUUACCUCGAGAUAAGAGAGCCUUUUACACACGUUUAGAUUUAUUCAAGUGAUUUUAAUUAAAAGUAACAUUAUGUAAAGUGCGAUCAUGUUUUUAAAUUCUCUUCAAAAUUUCAAUUUUCAACACUAAGACAUCAAGUAAUUAAUUAGGUACUAAUUUUGGGUGUCACGAGGGUGCUAAUCCUUCUUCGCACGUAACCGACUCCCGAACCAAUUUUCUGAAUUUUGUAGACCAAAAAUCGUUGUUUAGUAAAUCAAACCUUUUAUUAAAACAAUCAAAUUACGAGGUAAUCCGAUCACACCUCAUAUAAAAAAGAAUUGGUGACGACUCUCACUUUUUUAUUUUUUAAGUGAUCUAAAAAAAAAAGGAGUUUCAAUACUCAUAUUAAAGUUUUCCCUUCUCUAUCUAUUUCUUUUUAAUUUAUUUUGAUACAAAAGUUAAUAUAUAAUGAGAUACUCAAUCUUUUUUGAUACCAUUUUAAUAUAUUAUAUAUAUAAUAUGAUUUUGGUACAAAAGCCAAGAUAUAGUGAAAUACUCUUUCUAUAAAUUUUCAAUAAUUCACAUUAAAAUUUCCCUUCUCUCUCUAUUUCUUUUUCUUUUUGGUACAAAAGUCAACAUAUAAUGAGAUACUCAAUCUUUUUUAUAUCAUUAACAUAUUUUCAAGGAUUUAUUUAUUUUAUAAAAUAUAUAUGAAUUAUGUACAAAUUGGUUAUUUUCAAUCCAUCCCUUUUCAGUUCACACACAUCACUAUAUGGGGAUAAUAUUAAAAAGAUAUAGUUUUUAGAUAUUAAUAAAAUAGUAUUACUUUAUUAAAUUUUAAAGAUAAUAAAGUGUUAUUAUAUACUCAUCUAUAUCUAAUAUUUCUCUAAUUUAAUUUAAUUUUAAUUAAAUUACUUAAAAUAAUUAAUUUUUUAAAUUAUAAACAAAAAUCUUUUCUUCUUUUACAAAUUUUAAUAUUUUGUUUUUUUUUCAUAAGUUAAUGUUUUUUAUUUUUGUGCGACCAAUUUAAAAAAAUAGUAAUUUUUGUGCAAUUUUUUCUAUGUUAUUUACACAUAAUUUUGGUUAUUAUUUUAUCUUGAAUCCGAAAUCUUGAACCCUAAAUCUUAAAUUUUGAGCUGAUACAUCGAGAUUUAGGGUUUGGAUUCAAGAUUUAUGGUUCAAGGUUUUUGUUUGGGGUUACGAGUUUGGGGUUACAAGUUUGGAUUCAAAGGUUUAAGGUUCAAUGUUUGGUGCAAUUUUUUUUUUUCAAAAUUGUGUGUUAAUGACAUGGAAAAAAUUAUUAAUGACAAUUUUUAGUGUUUGGGUUCUAGGUUUAGUGUUCAGGUUUGGCGUAAUUUUUUUAAAAUUAUAUAUUAAUGACAUGAAAAAAAUUAUUAAAAUAUUAUUAAAUAAUUAAAAUAAAUAAAUAAUAUGAUGGGAAAAGUUCAUAAAAUAAGUUGUCUAUCUAUGAUUGUAUAACAAUUUCACGUCUAAUACCUACAAAACUUAGUUUUUUGGAUUAUUUUAAUGCAAGUUAUUCCCAUAUAUAUUUAUAUAUAUAAUCGUGCACAUAAAACCAUCAUAUUGUUAACAAAAAAAUACAACAAAGCUUCGACAAUGGCUAUUCCUAUGGUGCUUGAAAUUGUAUUUCCACCGAGUUUGGUCCUCGUUGCAGCAUCUGUUUUAAGUCUAAUAUCGCUGGCAAUUCUUGGGGUUUUAGAAACGAAAGAGAUUCACUUGAAAUAUUCCAAGUUCUUCAAUGCUUCUUCUUCUUCUUCUUCGAUUAGCUUUAAAGUUCCCAGUAGAGUUGGCAUGUUCUUGAUCUACACACCAGCUUUCCUUGUCGGUGUUGCUUCCUUUUGGCUUUUCCCUGAUGGAGACUUUAGGUUUCUUUUGCUCAAAUCUGCCAUUACCAUCCAUUUCUUUAAGAGAAUUCUUGAGGUAUCUUUUCUCUUCUUUUUCUUUAAUAAUUGGGGAAAUGAUAUAGAUUAGGAUCCAAAUUCUCUUUUACUCUUUAAAUUUCUCCCAAAUAGCUUAUGUUGAAACUUAAAUACUAAUCGAAGUGAAUUUAUUGAUUAAACAUUGCAGGUGAUUUUCAUUCAUAAAUACAGUGGAGAGAUGUCUCUAGACACAAUAAUAAUUAUACUUGUCAGCUAUUUCUUUGUCAGUUUAAGCCUGAUUUACACACAAACUUUCAAUCAAGGACGCUCAGAACCGUCCAUUGAUUUGAAGUACCUUGGAAUUGUGUUGUUUUUAAUAGGAAUCAGUGGCAAUUUCUACCACCAUUGCAUUCUUUCCCAGCUAAGAACAAAGGGUGACAAAGAGUACAAGAUCCCCAAAGGUGGUUUGUUUGAGUUGGUGAUUUGCCCACACU